rnacentral:rRNA from 1 species
AUUGAACGCUGGCGGCAUGCCUUACACAUGCAAGUCGAACGGCAGCGGGGGAGAAGCUUGCUUUUCCUGCCGGCGAGUGGCGAACGGGUGAGUAAUACAUCGGAACGUGCCCUGUAGUGGGGGAUAACUAGUCGAAAGAUUAGCUAAUACCGCAUACGACCUGAGGGUGAAAGUGGGGGACCGCAAGGCCUCAUGCUAUAGGAGCGGCCGAUGUCUGAUUAGCUAGUUGGUGGGGUAAAGGCCUACCAAGGCGACGAUCAGUAGCUGGUCUGAGAGAACGAUCAGCCACACUAGGACUGAGACACGGCCCAGAAUCCUACGGGAGGCAGCAGUGGGGGAUUUUGGACAAUGGGCGAAAGCCUGAUCCAGCAAUGCCGCGUGUGUGAAGAAGGCCUUCGGGUUGUAAAGCACUUUUGUCCGGAAAGAAAUGGCUCUGGUUAAUACCUGGGGUCGAUGACGGUACCGGAAGAAUAAGGACCGGCUAACUACGUGCCAGCCGCCGCGGUAA